GACGAACGCUGGCGGCGUGCUUAACACAUGCAAGUCGAACGGAAAGGCCCUGCUUGCAGGGUACUCGAGUGGCGAACGGGUGAGUAACACGUGGGUGAUCUGCCCUGCACUUCGGGAUAAGCCUGGGAAACUGGGUCUAAUACCGGAUAGGAGCCAUUUUUAGUGUGAUGGUUGGAAAGUUUUUUCGGUGUAGGAUGAGCUCGCGGCCUAUCAGCUUGUUGGUGGGGUAAUGGCCUACCAAGGCGGCGACGGGGAGCCGGCCUGAGAGGGUGGACGGCCACAUUGGGACCGAGCUACGGCCCAGACUCCUACGGGAGGCAGCAGGGGGGAAUAUUGCACAAUGGGCGCAAGGCUGGUGCAGCGACGCCGCGGGGGGGAUGACGGCCUUCGGGUUGUAAACUCCUUUCGCUAGGGACGAAGCUUUUUGUGACGGUACCUAGAUAAGAAGCACCGGCUAACUACGUG
rnacentral:rRNA from 1 species